rnacentral:rRNA from 1 species
UCAAAGGAAGUUGACGGGGAGCACCACGAACGGUGGAGCUUGCGGUUUAAUUGGAUUCAACGCCGGAAAUCUUACCGGGACCGACAGCGAUAUGAAGGCCAGGCUGAAGACUUUGCCGGAUUAGCUGAGAGGUGGUGCAUGGCCGUCGUCAGUUCGUACUGUGAAGCAUCCUGUUAAGUCAGGCAACGAGCGAGACCCACGCCCACAGUUGCCAGCGUACUCUCCGGAGUGACGGGUACACUGUGGGGACCGCCGCUGCUAAAGCGGAGGAAGGAAUGAGCAACGGUAGGUCAGUAUGCCCCGAAUAUCCCGGGCUACACGCGAGCUACAAUGGUUGGUACAAUGGGUAUCUACCCCGAAAGGGGAUGGAAAUCUCCUAAAGCCAAUCUUAGUCCGGAUUGAGGGCUGCAACUCGCCCUCAUGAAGCUGGAAUCCGUAGUAAUCGCGUUUCAACAGAACGCGGUGAAUACGUCCCUGCUCCUU